UGGGGAAUUUUGGACAAUGGGGGAAACCCUGAUCCAGCCAUCCCGCGUGUGCGAUGAAGGCCUUCGGGUUGUAAAGCACUUUUGGCGGGAAAGAAACGUCGCGGGUUAAUACCCCGCGAAACUGACGGUACCUGCAGAAUAAGCACCGGCUAACUACGUGCCAGCAGCCGCGGUAAUACGUAGGGUGCAAGCGUUAAUCGGAAUUACUGGGCGUAAAGCGUGCGCAGGCGGUUCGGAAAGAAAGAUGUGAAAUCCCAGAGCUUAACUUUGGAACUGCAUUUUUAACUACCGGGCUAGAGUGUGUCAGAGGGAGGUGGAAUUCCGCGUGUAGCAGUGAAAUGCGUAGAUAUGCGGAGGAACACCGAUGGCGAAGGCAGCCUCCUGGGGAUAACACUGACGCUCAUGCACGAAAAGCGUGGGGGAGCAAAACAGGAUUAGAUACCCUGGUAGUCCACGCCCUAAACGAUGUCAACUAGCUGUUGGGGGCCUUCGGGCCUUGGUAGCGCAGCUAACGCGUGAAGUUGACCGCCUGGGGAGUACGGUCGCAAGAUUAAAAACUUAAAUGAAAUUGACGGGGGUCAUAGCUG
rnacentral:rRNA from 1 species